rfam:Sus scrofa chromosome 7.
CCAACGGCCCUUUUCAGGGCCACCUAUUCCUUCACUCAAAAGAGUU